UCAAUGGCUUUUUUUUAAAUCAAAGCCACUCAUAUUUUCUUUACUAUAACA
rfam:Lottia gigantea unplaced genomic scaffold LOTGIsca_39, whole genome shotgun sequence.